rnacentral:rRNA from 1 species
GGUUGAAGGCUGGGUAACACCAGCUGGAGGACCGAACCCGUGAACGUUGAAAAGUUCUGGGAUGACUUGUGGAUAGGGGUGAAAGGCCAAUCAAACCUGGACAUAGCUGGUUCUCCGCGAAAUCUAUUUAGGUAGAGCGUCAGACGAAUUCCUUGGGGGGUAGAGCACUGGAUGGAUGCGGGGGUCGCGAGAUCUACCAAUUCUAACCAAACUCCGAAUACCCAAGAGAACUAUCUGGCAGACACACGGCGGGUGCUAACGUCCGUCGUGAAAAGGGAAACAACCCUAACCAUCAUCUAAGGCCCCCAAGUCAUGGCUAAGUGGGAAACGAUGUGGGAUUGCUUUGACAACCAGGAUGUUGGCUUAGAAGCAGCCAUCAUUUAAAGAAAGCGUAACAGCUCACUGGUCAAGCGAUCCUGCGCGGAAAAUGUAACGGGGCUCAAGCCAUGCGCCGAAGGUAUGGGUGUGCGUAAGCACGCGGUAGCGGAGCGUUCCGUAAGCCUGCGAAGGGCCCUCGUGAGAGUGCCUGGAGGUAUCGGAAGUGAGAAUGCUGACAUAAGUAGCGCAAACAGUGUGAGAAACACUGUCGCCGAAAGUCCAAGGGUUCCUGCGCAAGGUUAAUCCACGCAGGGUGAGCCGGCCCCUAAGGCGAGGCCGAAAGGCGUAGUCGAUGGGAACAGGGUGAAUAUUCCCUGGCCAGC